UUAAUUAAAUUUUUUGACUAAUAUGUGGUGUUCAUACAUUUGUAUGGUAGUAUAGGGAAGUAUCACAAACUCAAACCCUUUCAGGGGAUCCUGCAGUUAACAUAUGUGAAUGAAACAGCUAUAUUAAAAUGUAUCCAUCGUCUUUUAAACACAAUGGCAUCAUUCUUUAAGCACAUCAUCUUAAAGAAAGAAAGGGAAAAUGAGAUGGAAGGAGGCCGGCUGGAAAAAAAGAGAAAAAUAUUCAGGUUAAAUUUUCUAAUAGAUGCAUCAUACACAGGGUAGUAUAUUUAUGGAAAACUGCUCCCAAAUUCAGGUUGCAAGUGAGUGCUAAGGUGACUUUAAAAAAAUUAUUAUUUUUAUUUUGUAAAGACUUGUACCUAUACCAAAUCAUUUCCUCCCCUAUUACAAAUGCUUGCCUACAAUAUCCUUUGGUGAAUAAUAGUGCAAUUCAAAUGACAUCUAAUCAGAACAUCGUUUUCAUAAUUGAUCUGAUAUUUGCAGUGCCUUUUCUUAAUCUUUGAGGAUGUUUUGUAGCAGGGACUCUGCCUAUCUGUUUGAAUUAAAUAGGAGAAAUGGAAGUAUCAGCUCUUAGAUAACAAUGGAUUUAAAAUCA
rnacentral:lncRNA from 1 species